GAAUAUCACUUGGAUGAAAGAAGCCACUUUCUUGGGACCUGCAGUCUGACUGUGCAGGCCUGUGAAAUCUCUGCUAUUUAGCGGAAAUCCGCUAUUUUCAUUUUUAAGACCGAUUUCAAUUUCCGCUUUUUUCCUGUGUUCCAUUUCCGUUUUUUCUAAGUCAAAAUUCCGCUAUUUUAUCCAAAACGGCUGGAAAACAAGUCUAGGUAAAUGGAUGCAAGCAGAAUGUGUGUGUUGUGAAUUUACACGUUACGGGGCCUUGUAUUUUGCCUUCACGAAGUUUCGAAUUUUUAGUGUAACUCUAUGAAACUGCUGCAGAUCACACCGUGCACUGUUGCCGUUGGCAUAUGGGCCCGUCAAUCUGUAUGCAUUGUCAGCGGACGGAAACCGCAUACAACACAGGGAAAUCAUUGCGUGUGGCCGUGUGCACGUUGUUGGUUACGUACAUGUACAUACGAUCGAGACUCGCGAGUGAAUGAACCAUUUCACUUGUUCGGGAUGUUUACGAAGUUAGUGUUUUGAACUUUCUUACUUUGGAGUUUGGACUUUGUUGUUUAAAUUCUUGAAUCAUUGGAAAUAUUUCUAUGACUUUCAAAAUGUCUGUUGAACAUAAAUGUGUAAUCGUUCAGAGAGGGUCGCCUUUGGAUACCGAUGAAGAUAAAAAGUGCAGCGACAUUUCUAAUCCGUGGAAAUGGUCCUGGAUGGAAUACACCGUGAAUCGUGAUGGGCAUAUGCAGCGGCUUGGCGAUAGUAAAUAGUAAGUGUGGUGAGAUUAAUUCAACAGUAUCUGAAGGAAGCUGGUCUACCUCGGACCUUAGCCAUCCUUCAGGAAGAAUCAACUGUAUCACUCAAUACGGUAGAUAGCAUUGACCAGUUCAUCACUGAUAUCAACAGUGGUCAUUGGGACACUGUCCUUCAGCAAAUACAGUCACUCAAGCUUCCAGACAAGACCCUGAUUGACCUCUAUGAACAGGUAUGACCCCCGUCCCCCUGAAAAAUACUGGAAAAUAGCGCUGUUAUUGAUAACCUCAUUAUUGUGAUAUUGAUAACCUUUCAUUGUCAAUAAUAUUCGCUGUUAUGGAGGGACAUGACAAUGAUUUUCCGCGAUUUCACAGAAUUCAUGGAAACAGGCUUUUGAAAGUGGCUUUUUAAACGGAAAUUCAUGGAAAAACAUAAUUUUCCUCGGAAUGCACAGAACAGCAACAAAAAUUUCUCCAAAUCCUCAACAAAUAACGAAUACAAUACUAGCCACAGGACACGAUCUCACUUUGUUUUAAGCAUGACAAUCAAAAAUCGUGACCGCACUCGACUCCAUUCGAUUGUGUAUUGAAAACAAUCACAAGCGCAAGCUCAAUUUUAGCGAGGUAUCAACGUACAUGUAGAAAGGCAGCACAUGGCAGUGUGUUAAUGCUCUCUACAUUCGAACAGGGAACAAUUUUACUUCUCAAAUUCGAUUGGCAUUUAUGAUUAUUAUUUAUUUCAUUUAUUGGUUUUAUUUAUUUUAUUUAUUGGUUUUAUUUAUUUUAUACUGCAGGGUAGGCCUGUUCAAUUAUGCAAAACUGCUUUCCAAAGGCGCCCUGCAGUUUAACAAAUAACUGAACAUCAUAGCAAUUCAAUGUAACAGAAUACACUAUAUACAUAGUGACAACAAUUACUCAUGGAAUCAUUACAUUUACAUCAAGUUAUUAAGUGUAAUUACAUGUAUGACAGAAUUUUAAUGAUUUACAGUGUUUUUGAAAGCAUGGAGGGACGUGCAUUUUUGUCUCACCUGCAUCUAUAGCAGAGUGAGACUAUAGGUGCCGCUUUUCUGACGGCGGUGGCGUCAAAACCAAAUCUUUUUGAAUGACAGCAUAACUU